CCCUGCUGAUCCUGGGAAAUGCUACAUCUGCCAAACUGCACCAAGUCCUAGGCUCUUGGGGCCAAUUCAGCUCUCAGGCAUAUCGUGCUGGUAAGUCUCCCCACCUGCACAUGUCCCCUUCCUGCUCCUUGUGUUGAGUUGGCUUGUUAAGGUUCUCUGUUGAAGUCUGUUAUGGAAGAGGAAGUGCAUGGGGAAGCCUUCAAGGUGUCUUACAGAGCACUAUCUCAUGGUUCUCUCAUCUACUUUGAGGUAAAGCUAUUAACCAGGCAAUGAGGACUGUUAAUUACAUAAGCAAGAGCUAUCCUUUAUUUAUUGUUUAUAGGUCAGAAACCACACAGUGGAGUUCAGAGAGGUUUGGUUCGACUGGCCCCAAACUGCACACCUAGUAGGGACAGAGCACAAACCAAAUACCAGUCCUGGCUUCAGCUGAGAAGUACCGCUGUCAAGGAUUGAACUUUCAGUAAGAGCUCUUCCAAGCAUGGCUGUGAUAACUCAUUCAACCCCCGAAGGCAUCCCACAGGAAAAUGGCCCAGCACACGGCAAUUCACAACCCUAUAUCCCCAGUCCCAGGACAGAGGAAAAAGGAGCCAUGCCCAGUGAUGCCUCUCACUCAGUUCCUAUUAACCAUGGACUCCCUACAAACACCCUGAGAGGUGAACUGACUCACUGAGGAAUACAGGAAGCAAUCACAACAUCAACUGGAUAAGCA
rnacentral:lncRNA from 1 species